CUGAGUUGGACACAAACUGGCAUUAUCAUAACUUCUCGUCGGAAACUGUCCUCUUUUCCAACAGAGGGGCUUGUGUGACGUUAGAUCCAUUGAGUGGCAGCUGGGGACUGGAUCGAUGCCAGACACCCAAACAGGGCAUCUGCCAGGUUCUGAAAUCUGGGCUGGAUGCCUCUAGAUUUCCAAGGACUGAUUUGUUCUCAAAAGCGAUUGAGGAGAUUUACUUCAACUCGUCGGCUGUCAUGGAUCUCUCCAGACUUGGUGACCUCAUUGGUGUGCUGCUCAGGGUCCUGGAGACCAGUCCGGGUGUGGUGAAGGCAAAAGAUGUCCUGCACCUCACUGAGAUGAUCGAGCGGGCUGCCUCCACCCAGAUCUACUCUGCCAAUGCCUCACACGAGGCUGUCGUGUCCUUAGCUACAGACUACUUGCGCCUCGCAAGUGAGAUUAUUGCCCCAGACAUGGUAGCUAUGUGGAUGAAGUCUUCUGAC